AUCCUUUCAAAUGUUAUGUUUGGAACAAAUGCCACAGGCGAGUACAAAGUGCUCCUGAAGUGAAUGGGAGACUAUAAUUGUGCUUUGCAGACAGUUUUUGCAUAAGUAUGUCAACAUCUGUCAAUAGAUUUGAGAUGCGAUAGCUAGGUGGGACCUCUGUAAUAUCUAGAGGCAGAUGCACCUAGCAUAGUAGAUGCUGGCGACAACCAAGAAGGGAUGACCACCACCUUGCUGUCAUGCUUGUGAGCUUCCAGAGGCCACUGGCUGGUCACUGCUGAGUUUUAUUUAUCAGUCGCCCCACUAGGUACUAUACACGUCAGUUGGUUUCCACCUCAGUCUACUUCAUGAACGGGUGCUUCGUUAUGGAUGGUGUGUCUUCUAGAAAAGAAGUGUAGACUGCCAAGGUCCCAAGCAGAACUGGAAAUACUUCCGAGCAGCAUAAAGGCCCUCAAGACAGCCAACAAACUCAAUUAAAACAAUAUUAAAAACCAAUGAUACAUCAACAAUACCAAUAAUACAAAAGAAGAAGAAGAAAGCAGUUGCUACAAUCUGCAACAGCAUUCAAAUAUCAACCAAUGAGGCAUAUAUUCUGAAUGGCAGUGAUUUUGAGAAUCUGUACACUGAAUCUAAACAGGAAUCUACUCUGAGUCUGAGCCGUUGGAGGCAGAGCAGCACCUGA
rnacentral:lncRNA from 1 species